CGGCUGUGUGUGCUGUGGACUGCGGGGACGGUGUGCAUGUGUUGUGCUGCUUUCAGGUACAGUUGGGAAACGUCGGAGCCCUAUGAAGAAAAAAGAAAUUGGAUUUUAAAAGGUCUGAUGCAGCAGGUCCUCUUCCAUGAAGUGUGCCAUGUUGAACCGCUAUGAUUCUACAGUAGCCCAGGAGGGAUAUUUUGCUUUGAUAUUUCACAGCCACUGUAACUUUUCCUUCACAUUUGGUGGGUGAGUGGUGAGGUUGUAAUCCAUAACCACACUGCCACUAUAUCUUACACACUGUACCUUUAAUUCUGUAGUGUGUUUUAUUCAAAAAUUUACUUUAAUUAUUGAAUGUUUUAUCAACUUAUUUUCUAUUUGUGGUUUAGCAUAGUCUUUUCUUUUCCUUGUCUUAAAGUACAAAUUCACAUCCCUGAAUGUUCAUGCUUGACCUCUUUGAAAUUGAGUUGUUUGACAGGAAAUAAAAUCAUAAUUCAGUCUCUA